AGGGAUAUGCAUAUACUGGUGAUGGUGGGGGUGAGGUGUAUACCGGUGGUGGCGGUGAGGGAUAGGCAUAUACUGGUGAUGGUGGUGGUGAUGGGGAUGGUGGUGGGUGAUAAGGUGUUUGAUGUGGCGCUGGCGAUGAUGGUGGUGGAGGUUCUACACAAGGUGGCGGUGGAGGUGGUGGAGGUUCUACACAAGGUGGUGGAGAUGGCGGUGGUGGUGAAUAGACUGGUGGUGGAGGUGAGUGUACUGGAGGAGGUGGUGGGGGUGAUAAAUAUGGAUAUACGGGUGGAGGAG
rnacentral:lncRNA from 1 species